GUGUUAAAGGUCAGGGGGUUAAAGGUCAAUGCUGACCCUCUGCUAUCUGUCCUCAGUUGGUGGGCGCUGCUAAAGGUUGAAGGGUUAAAGGUUGAAGGGUUAAAGGUCAAUGCUGACCCUCUGCUAUCUGUCCUAAGUUGGUGGGCGCUGCUAAAGGUUGAAGGGUUAAAGGUUGAAGGGUUAAAGGUCAAUGCUGACCCUCUGCUAUCUGUCCUAAGUUGGUGGGCGCUGCUAAAGGUUGAAGGGUUAAAGGUUGAAGGGUUAAAGGUCAGGGGGUUAAAGGUCAAUGCUGACCCUCUGCUAUCUGUCCUAAGUUGGUGGGCGCUGCUAAAGGUUGAAGGGUUAAAGGUC
ensembl:lncRNA